UACGUAGGGUGCGGGCGUUAAUCGGAAUUACUGGGCGUAAAGCGCGCGCAGGCGGUCCUUCAAGUCAGUGGUGAAAGCCCAGGGCUCAACCCUGGAACUGCCUUUGAGACUAGAGGACUUGGGUACGGGAGAGGUGAGUGGAAUUCCGAGUGCAGAGGUGAAAUUCGUAGAUAUUCGGAAGAACACCAGUGGCGAAGGCGGCUCACUGGCCCGUUACCGGCGCUCAGGCGCGACAGCGUGGGGAGCAAACAGG
rnacentral:rRNA from 1 species